rnacentral:rRNA from 1 species
UACGGAGGGGGCUAGCGUUGUUCGGAAUUACUGGGCGUAAAGCGCACGUAGGCGGUUUUGUAAGUCAGGGGUGAAAGCCCGGAGCUCAACUCCAGAACUGCCUUUGAUACUGAAGAUCUUGAGUUCGGGAGAGGUGAGUGGAACUGCGAGUGUAGAGGUGAAAUUCGUAGAUAUUCGCAAGAACACCAGUGGCGAAGGCGGCUCACUGGCCCGAUAUUGACGCUGAUGCACGAAAGCGUGGGGGAGCAAACAGG